GACGAACGCUGGCGGCGUGCUUAACACAUGCAAGUCGAACGAAGUGGCGGACGGGUGAGUAACGGUUACUCAACCUGCCCUUCAGAGUGGGACAACAGUUGGAAACGACUGCUAAUACUGCUAACUGAAGGACGGGAUUGUGUUUGAUUAGCUAGUUGGAGGGGUAACGGCCAACCAAGGCGAUGAUCAGUAGCCGGUCUGAGAGGAUGAACGGCCACAUUGGGACUGAGACACGGCCCAGACUCCUACGGGAGGCAGCAGUGGGGAAUCUUCCGCAAUGGACGAAAGUCUGACGGAGCAACGCCGCGUGAGUGAUGACGGCCUUCGGGUUGUAAAGCUCUGUUAAUCGGGACGCGGUACCGGAAUAGAAAGCCACGGCUAACUACGUGCCAGCAGCCGCGGUAAUAC
rnacentral:rRNA from 1 species